ensembl:snRNA U6 U6 spliceosomal RNA
GUGCUCGCUUCAGCAGCACAUAUACUAAAAUUGGAACAAUACAGAGGAUAUUAGCAUGGCCCCUGCACAAGGAUAACAUGCACAUUCAUGAAGUGUUCCAUAGUUUU